GAUUUUUUUCUUCACGGUUCUUGGAGGAUUUCUUGAGGAUUGACCUUAAUUUCUUGAACUAGGGUUUUGGCCUCUUUGAGAUAGAAUGUUUUAAAUCUUGAGAAAAUUGAGUGCAUAAUGAUAUUAUAGGGUAUUUAGUGAAUAAUUUUGUGUUUACGCUGAUCUGGGUCAUGGAAAAAGAUCUUAUUACCCCUGAAUAUUUUUUAUUUUUGUCACUGAAAACUCAAUUAUGGGCCCUAGUACGAUGCGCCGCGAUCGAUCCA
rnacentral:lncRNA from 1 species